rnacentral:rRNA from 1 species
CCAUACGACCAAAUCACCUGGAAUGUGCCUAGUCUCAUCCGAUCUCAUAAGCUAAGCAGGUGUGAGCCUGGACAAUGCUUGAAUGUGCAACCACCAUGCAUAACACUGGUGUUUUAGGCU